rnacentral:rRNA from 1 species
CCUACGGGACGCAGCAGUAGGGAAUCUUUCACAAUGGGCGAAAGCCUGAUGGAGCAACGCCGCGUGCAGGAUGAAGGCCUUCGGGUUGUAAACUGCUUUUAUAAGCGAGAAAUAUGAUGGUAACUUAUGAAUAAGGAUCGGCUAACUACGUGCCAGCAGCCGCGGUAAUACGGAGGAUGCGAGCGUUAUCCGGAUUUAUUGGGUUUAAAGGGUGCGUAGGCGGAAUAUCAAGUCAGCGGUAAAAAUUCGGGGCUCAACCCCGUCGUGCCGUUGAAACUGAUGUUCUUGAGUGGGCGAGAAGUAUG